UAUCGGCUUCUUCAAUUUCUUUCUUUCGCUUUCAUCUUUCCACUGACGUCUCACCGUCUCUUUCCUUCACAUAAAUAUGUGUCUCUCAGAUGAUUUCCCACCGCUAUUUUCUUAAUCGCCACCGGGGUCCGGUUCACCGCCUCUUCUAUUGGAUGUCGUCGGCCAACAUCAAAGCACGUGAACUCUAGAUGCCACCGCCUCGGACUUUUCAUCUUCUUCCAUACUCUCCACUCAUCGUCGUCUGCUUCUUCCAUCGUCUUUUACUCCUUUCGAUUUUUUUUGUUAAAAUGUUUUACCCUCAUAAACAAAGCUUCUCCAAGCAUCUUCUACCGAUUCGUGUCAAGGUUUUUUGGGUUUCUGCCCAACCUUGCUGAGAAAAAGGCACCGAACCACCGAUUUUUGCUUAUCUGAGAGAAGAAGGCACCAAACCACCGUCCUUAUCCAAAUCUUCUGUUCUUUUUCCUCUUUCCUCGGAUAACAUUCAUCGUCCACCACCAUCAGCUACCUCAUCUAGACUUGCGAUUAGGCACAAGUGCAAUCGAUCGCCACCAUCAUGGCAUCAUCAACUGCCUUGUCUGGAACUUCCAUCGUCUCCGAAACCCACCGUCUCUCUCUAAAGGCAUCGAUGGUUCUUUUUUACCAUUUUAUCCUCACCGAAAAACCAUCUCCGUCUUCUUGCCUCUCACCCCUUUAAUGUCUCCUAAUACCGGUCCUCUUGGAUGUCGCUCAUUGCCUGAUCGAGCAUGCCUCAGCGUCGCACACUCCCAUCUGACACCACCGCGCCAUUAGCUCUUCUACCACUGUUACGGCCCUUUUCUUCAUCUGAACGGUAAGAAAUGUCCUUUAAACUUCACUUUUUUUUUUUCUGUUAUCGAUUUCUAUAUCUGAACAAUGAAGGUAUUGUUUUGAUUUUUUGCUUAUAACUUUGAACUUCAAUUUUCUGUCUUUUUGUUAUGAACAUGCGAUGUACGGCGUCGAGGAUUGCUGGGUUGGUUGGAAAGUCAUGCUUUGACCUUGGGUUCAAGAAAAUUUUAACUAGCCAGGAAAUGACUGAUUCUUGGAGUUUUCUUAUUGUUGAAGCUUUUAGGGACUCAGAGAAAGUUCAGUUAUAUGAGGGGAGUGUGGAGCGGUAUGUUGGUCGUUUUGAAGAAAACAAUGAAUUGGUUUACAUGUGACUGUAUGUGUCUGUGCUUGAAGAUGGGGACGAGAAGGAAUUCAAGUGAUCAAUUUAUUGCUUUUUUUUUAAACGCUCAUCUCCAGUAUCCACAUCUUCCAACAAUCGAAGCCAGUUCUGAUGCAAAACUGACAUAUUUGCCAAUGGAGGUAUGUUUAUAUAUGUAUUAUAUUUUAUUUGUAAUGAAUAAGUAAGUUGUAUAUAUAGGUUAUGGUAACAUCAGUUUGUGAUUAAAGAUUUAUAGGAUUGCUAAUGGUUGUUGACAAUGAUUUAUCUAUUUUAAAACUUAUGGCGAACAAUUGUAGUGUUGACCCUUGGUAAUUUAGAUAAUGAAGUUAUUGCUUCC